AGGGUACCUUCUGGUAGAUCCCAGUUGUCAUCAUCAUCUUCCCUAGCAUUUUUAGGGCCAUCGCCAUCUUCCGAUGAUCCCAAUGGAGAUGUGAAUCUGGGCACAUAUCGUCUUCUCCGGUUCCGGCGACUAGCAUCACGAGCCCUUCGCUUCUUCUCUUCCUGCUUGUUCUCAAAGUACCUCCUCCUCUUGCACUCCUGAAUCACCCCCACCUUCGAUACUUCCCUUCUAAACCUCCGCAGCAACACCUCGUCCGGCUCGUCCUCCUCCACCACGAUCUGCACGUUGUACCCCGACUUGAAGAACAGCACAUUCGCGUGGCGCAGCGCCGGGUCCACGACCGCCGCCGGCGACAUGUCGAAUCCGUCAGCGGCCGAGGAGGAGCAGAGAGGGAGGCAUCGGUGGCGGGACGGGAGGCGAAGGGUGGAGAUACGAGAGGGGGAGAUUGAGGGUAAAAUGGUCACUUGCGAGAAUGAGA
rnacentral:misc_RNA from 1 species